UUUCCGUAGGUGAACCUGCGGAAGGAUCAUUAUUGUGAACCUCGGGGCGUUCCGCGAGAGCGGUCCGUCCCAACCACACACCACUGUGAACAAACCCCGUCCUCGGCCGUCGCCGUGGGCAAAUUUACAACUGUCGUCCUAUGUCCAGAAAGUAAAACAAAAGAGUACAACUCUCAACGAUGGAUCUCUUGGCUCUCGCAUCGAUGAAGAACGCAGC
rnacentral:misc_RNA from 1 species